GACGAACGCUGGCGGCGUGCCUAAUACAUGCAAGUAGAACGCUGAAGUAGGAGCUUUCUUCUCCGGAUGAGUUGCGAACGGGUGAGUAACGCGUGGGGAACCUGCCUGUUAGCGGGGGAUAACUAUUGGAAACGAUAGCUAAUACCGCAUAAGAUUUGUUGUCGCAUGUCAUUUGCUUAAAAGGUGCAGCUUCGCCGCUACCAGAUGGUCCUUCGUUGUAUUAGCUAGUUGGUGAGGUAACGGCUCAACAAGGCAACGAUACAUAGUCGACCUGAGAAGGGGGUCCGCCACAAUGGGAAUGGGACAAGGCCCAGAAUCCUAAGGGGGGGAACAGGAGGGGAACCUUGGGAAUGGGCGGAAGGCUGAACGGGGAAAGGCGGGGGAGGGAAGAAGGGUCUCGGAUCGGAAAGAUCCGUUGAAAGAGAAGAAAGAAAGGGGGAGUGGAAAGUGCACACUGUGACGGUACCUAACCAGAAAGGGACGGCUAACUACGUG
rnacentral:rRNA from 1 species